AGUGAACGCUGGCGGUAGGCCUAACACAUGCAAGUCGAACGGCAGCACAGUAAGAGCUUGCUCUUACGGGUGGCGAGUGGCGGACGGGUGAGGAAUACAUCGGAAUCUACUUUUUCGUGGGGGAUAACGUAGGGAAACUUACGCUAAUACCGCAUACGACCUACGGGUGAAAGCAGGGGAUCUUCGGACCUUGCGCGAUUGAAUGAGCCGAUGUCGGAGUAGCUAGUUGGCGGGGUAAAGGCCCACCAAGGCGACGAUCCGUAGCUGGUCUGAGAGGAUGAUCAGCCACACGGGAACUGAGAAACGGUACAGACUCCUGCGGGAGGCAGGAGUGGGGAAUAGUGGACAAUGGGCGAAAGCCUGAUCCAGCCAGACCGCGUGGGUGAAGAAGGCCUUCGGGUUGUAAAGCCCUUUUGUUGGGAAAGAAAAGCAGAAGGUUAAUACCCCGCUGUUCUGACGGUACCCAAAGAAUAAGCACCGGCUAACUUCGUG
rnacentral:rRNA from 1 species